UUUUUUUCUAGUGACAAGAGACGGAGACCCUGUCCAAUGAGAGCGAAUCAUGAAUAAUAUACAGGAAGCGCAGCUGUGUGUUAAAAAUAGCAGAAGAACGGUUCAGGUUUGCUGUUUGGACUGUAAUGGAUCUGAAAUGAUCUGCAGAAAGAGUGCCGGGCUCUAGUCCCACGCUUGGGCUGGCUGUCUGGGCUUGGACUUCAUAGCCCCGGGGGGAUGGAGUUGGACGGGGGAAAUGGAUACAACAGUGAGGGGGAGGAGGGAGCUGCCGCGAUGCUGUGGACGAUAGACGAGGCCGUGCAGCGGCAGACCCUCCAGAUCGGGGCGUCGGCAUGUGGGGCUACUGCUGUAGUGGACGUGCUGCAGGUCCUGGGGAUCAGCGUGACGGCCGAGGACGCGGACCGCUGCGUCCAGACACGCCUGCGUCAAAACGAGGCCCCUCUCCCGGAGUAUCUGCUCUCCCGGAGCCAGGCUGGGGCCACACACCAGCAGCUGGUGGAGGGUGCGGAGAGGGCAAGUGGUGGACGGGUGCUGGGCCGGUUUUUCCCACUCCACCCAUCCCGGCAGCUGGCUCUGGUACCCUGGCUGGCCUCAUGGAUCCGGAAGGGUGCUGUUCCUGUUGCCACCAUGAACAUGCAGCUGGCAGUGCCCGAGGGUGAGGAGGUGCCUGAUGCCUGGCACCACCAACUCAUCUUUGGCGUCACACCCAGUGCCGUUUACAUGACAAACCCCCUGGAUGUGGUGAGCGCUCAGGUGGUGCAGCAGCGUCUGUGCAGUGAUUCGGUGCUGUUGGUGAGGAGAGAGGAUGUCCUGCAGAGGCUGACAGCUGAUACACCGGUCUCGGUAUUGCCUCAGGGACACACUGACCCCUGCUGGGACAUUCUAGACGUGGCAGGCCAGGUAAGGCAGAUGGUGCGUGAGGAAGAGAAUGACCCCAGAAUGACGCACAUUGUGAUCCCAGCAGCAUACAAGUCAGGAGUCACUCUGUUUGCCCUGAAAGACACCGCCCUUGGACAGGAGCUUCUCCUCGCCCCCGAUCUGCCCCUGCUGCAUUCGGACACCCUCAGAGUCUGCGCUUAGAGGCUACACUGAACCCCUCUGCAACCUCUGUACUGCUUCUCAUGAGCCAUGGAGAGGAAGGAGCAUGCAGGCAGAAGACUGUACUAGAUUUUAAUUGAUUAAUGUGCUGGAAAACCAGAACACGCCCUUGAUCACCUGUUAUGAGUUGAUGAAGCACCGGGGAUCAAUGGGCAGGGGGAUGCUUGUCUGUUCUUAGAGAGUUACCCCGCAGAAGACUCAAACUGAAAAAUGUGAUACCAGACUUCCUCGCUUCUCACACAGCCUCCUUUCACCCUGAUCAGAUUGUAUUACUGGAGCUCUCCAUCCCAACUCUUGACCAUCUUAAAUAACGUGCAAUAAGGCUUAAUUAUGCUUCACUCCCAUACUUCCUCUGGUUUGAUUUCUCUUAAUCUCAGAUACAGAUUGUGAAUAGAUUAAAUGAAAAGACUUGAAACACUGUCAUCUUUAUUUCUUUAUUUGUAUAGUGCCUUUCAUGCCAAAGCAAUCCUAAAGUUCUCUGAAUACAAUGAAAGAAAAUGUCAAUAAGAUUUACAAAAAUCAUAAUUGAAAUCUUGAUAGAAAUACAAAAUACUACAAAUUAAAUAUGACAAUAGUGUUAAAAUGAAAGUUAAUGAGAAAAGGUUGACUUAUAAAAAAAAUCAUGAAGGUUAUUCUCAAAUUUGUAAAUACCACAUUUUGCAGAGAUCUGUUGAAUUAAGGUUAAAUAUCACCCUGCAACUCACAACUGGCAACCCCCUGAAACUAAGAUGGUGUGAGUCUGGUCAGUACCUGGAUGGGAGACCUCCUGGGAAAAACCAAGGUUGCUGCUGGAAGAGGUGUUAGUGGGGCCAGCAGGUGGCGCUCACCCUGUGGUCUGUGUGGGUCUGAAUGCCCUAGUAUAGUGACAGGGACACUAUACUGUAAACAGGCGCCGUCCUUCAGAUGAGACAUAAAACCGAGGUCCUGACUCUCUGUGGUCAUUAAAAAUCCCAGGGUGUUUCUCGAAAAGAGUAGGGGUGUAACCCCGGCGUCCUGGCCAAAUUUCCCAUUGGCCCUUAUCAAUCAUGGCCUCCUAAUAAUCCCCCUCUAUGAAUUGGCUACAUUACUCUGCUCUCCUCCCCACUGAUAGCUGAUGUGUGGUGAGCAUUCUGGCGCACUAUGGCUGCCGUUGCAUCAUCCAGGUGGAUGCUGCACAUUGGUGGUGGUGGAGGGGAGUCCCCAUUACCUGUAAACCACUUUGAGUGGAGCGUCCAGAAAAGUGCUAUAUAA
rnacentral:lncRNA from 1 species